GAGUUCACUCCGAGAAAGAAUUGCUUUGCAUGUACAUUUGCUGAAAGACUGAUGUGCUGAACUUUCGAUGAUUUCGAUUGGUAUUCAACUUGAGGAAUUUCAUACUUUUGGAGUGGAGCUAUCAAAUAUAUGUGUGCUCGAUGUUGGUGUUUUAAUCUGGAUCUCUCGCUGAAGGUGCUCGAUGUUGGUGUUUGAAUACUGCUACCGUACUUCAAGCAAAGUUCUCCUAGAGGUGUGAUGUUGGUGGUGAUUUUCUUAUCCGGGGAUAUGGAUGUGGCGGGUCUGUGGGCACCAUGCUGACGCGGAGAAGGAGGUGCAGGUAGCGGGGCGCUUGAGGUGAGGUGGCUGCAGGGUCGCUCGAGAAGAACAGGCUCAUCAGCACCACCUGGAUGCCUUCGUCAUCAGCAAUGUGGACAAGGUAAAGUGGGAUGGCGGGAUUGUAUAGUGCUCAUAAGCCAGUCCGGGCAUUGUCCUUCCUCGAAUGAAUCUGAGACUACUCCUCAUAUGUUAAUCAGUUGCUCCUCCCUAGCUUUGGUUUGGUCUGAACUUCAAAGUUUUCAUCCACUCAAUGUUGAUUCAGUCAAAGAUCUCUUGGAAAAAUUAUUUCGACAAGAUUCACUCUAUAAUGUUGUUAUCAUUGUCCUCUGGAAUAUAUGGAAGCGCAAAAACUCCAAGGUCUCCCGGGAUGUUUUUGAGGAAUUGCACAUUACUGCUAGCAAGAUUGCUGAUGAUUGAUACCAUGGUCCAACAGGUAUUCACAUGAAAUUAAUAAAUGGCACCUUACGGAUUGGAGUACUCUACUGUAUCACCUAUCUGGGAGAUUUUAAUUU